GACAGAGGGGGGCAAGCGUUGCUCGGAAUCACUGGGCGUAAAGGGCGCGUAGGCGGGAUGGCAAGUCGGUCGUGAAAUCCUUCGGCUCAACCGAAGAACGUCGGCCGAUACUGCCGUUCUUGAGGGAUGCAGAGGAGAUUGGAAUUCCCGGUGUAGCGGUGAAAUGUGUAGAGAUCGGGAGGAACACCGGUGGCGAAGGCGGGUCUCUGGGGCCGAUACUGACGCUGAGGAGCGAAAGCGUGGGGGAGCGAACAGG
rnacentral:rRNA from 1 species